ACUCCUACGGGAGGCAGCAGUGAGGAAUAUUGGACAAUGGGCGAAAGCCUGAUCCAGCCAUGCCGCGUGUGUGAAGAAGGCCUUCGGGUUGUAAAGCACUUUCAGCGGGGAGGAAGGGAGUAAAGUUAAUACCUUUGCUCAUUGACGUUACCCGCAGAAGAAGCACCGGCUAACUCCGUGCCAGCAGCCGCGGUAAU
rnacentral:rRNA from 1 species